AGAUAUAAAAUGUAGUUAAGUUAUUUUGUAUAUUGUAUCAUUUAAUAUGUACUCUUCUAGAUAUAUAUAUUAGUUGGCUAGUUAGGAACUCUUUUUAUAUAUUACACAUAAUUUGUAUACCGUAGACAUAAGAAAAGAAACACAUAUUACAAUUCUCUCACUACGAUCUUUUGUCUCUUACUCUAUAUUUCCUCCCUUCUUCUCACUAGACCUUGCCUCCAUUUCCAUGGCAGAUCUAGGUUAUUUUGACACACCACACUGCCAUUGAAUGGCAGAUUUCAAUGAUGAAGAAAAGUUUAUAUAAAUUAGUUUAUUUUCACCUUGUAUAUUGAAAUAUUUAUCGUGAUUUAAGUCAUUAUUUGUUGGAUUUGACACUCAUUAAGUGUUUAUAUAUGAGUGAUUUUGGAUAAAAACGGAGAUGAAAAGAGAUGAUUCAAGGCAAUUUGAAGUUGAAAGCACGAAAGAAGUUGAAGUUGAUCAAUAGACGUGUAAACUGCUCAUGUUGCGUGCCUCCAAGAGGAGUCAUUAGAUAUGCGAAAUUGCGAAGCGAGGCCAAGGCGACAACCAUCAUGUGACGUAUUUGGAAGCAUGGAAGUAGACGUUUUCCAUGCUUCCAUAUUUGGCUUGCUUCUCGAGUGUCCAAAACUUGCACUUCGGGUCUUUUUUGUUUCUUGCCCGAGCCAGGAUUAGUUAGAGCGGCUUCCUACAUAUCACAGGACUUACUUAAAUACCAUAAAACGAGCCCCUGAUUGGGN
rnacentral:lncRNA from 1 species